AGGGCGUAUGGCGGAUGCCUAGGCUCACGGAGGCGAUGAAGGACGUGAUAAGCUGCGAUAAGCUUCGGGUAGGUGCAAAUAACCUUUGAUCCGAAGAUUUCCGAAUGGGACAACCUAGCCGUCUGAAGGACGGUUACUCUUACCAAUGUAAGAGAGCUAACGCAGGGAACUGAAACAUCUUAGUACCUGUAGGAAGAGAAAAUAAAUGAAUGAUUCCCCUAGUAGUGGCGAGCGAACGGGGAACAGCCCAAACCAGUGGCGUCGCAAGGCGUGGCUGGGGUUGUAGGACCGCGACAUUGUAUGCAAAUCGUGAACAGAACACUUUGGAAAAUGUGACCAUAGACGGUGAUAGUCCAGUAUGUGAAGCGAAAUGCAGCAUAGCGGUAUCCUGAGUAACGCGGGACACGAGGAAUCCUGCGCGAAUCUGCCGGGACCAUCCGGUAAGGCUAAAUACUCCCGAGAGACCGAUAGCGAACGAGUACUGUGAAGGAAAGGUGAAAAGAACCCCGAGCAGGGGAGUGAAAUAGUUCCUGAAACCAUACGCCUACAAGCGGUCGGAGCAUCGUAAGAUGUGACGGCGUGCCUUUUGCAUAAUGAUCCUACGAGUUACCGUCACUGGCGAGGUUGAGUGUCAUGAGACACGUAGCCGCAGUGAAAGCGAGCCUGAACAGGGCGCAUAGUCAGUGGGGGUAGACGCGAAACCAAGUGAUCUACACUUGGCCAGGAUGAAGUCCCGGUAACACGGGAUGGAGGUCCGCACCAAUAAGCGUUGAAAAGCUUCUGGAUGAGCCGAGUGUAGGAGUGAAAGGCCAAUCAAACUUGGAGAUAGCUCGUACUCCCCGAAAGGCAUUUAGGUGCCGCGUCGGAUGGUCACCGUGAGAGGUAGAGCGACCGAUAGGACAAGAGGGCUUCACCGCCUAUCGAGUCCUGACGAACUCCGAAUGCUCACGGUCUGCAGUCCGGCAGUAAGGGGGCGGGUGCUAAGGUCCGUCCCCGAGAGGAGAAGAAUCCAGACCGCCGUCUAAGGUCCCGGAGUUCUGCCUGAGUUAGUCUAACGAAGUCUGGUCCCUAUGACAGCUAGGAUGUUGGCUUGGAAGCAGCCAUUCAUUCAAAGAGUGCGUAACAGCUCACUAGUCGAGGGUCCGGGCAUGGAUAAUAAUCGGGUAUAAGGCAGACACCGAAGGCGCGGGAUAGCAAUUAUAAAAGUAUCGGUAGGGGAGCAUACUCACAGCGUCGAAUGGUGUACGUAAGUUAUCCUGGAGCGGUGAGUAAAGCAAAUGUAGGAAUAAGUAACGAUAAGGAGGGUUAGAUUCCCUCCCGCUGUAAGACCAAGGUUUCCCGGGCAAUGCCAAUCAGCCCGGGGUCAGUCGGGUCCUAAGUCUAAGCCGAACGGCGAUGGCGAUGGCAGAGACGGUUAAUAUUCCGUCACUGCCGCAUGGGGCGACGUGGAGACGGAGCAGUGAAACCACCGCGGGGCGACGGAAGUCCCCGUUGAAGAGUGUAGGUGUUGAGGAUGGCAGGCAAAUCCACCAUCCGAGCUGAACUUGACAGUACGGAGUCCUCUUCGGAGGAAUCUGAUAGUGUGGGUAAUCAUACUCCCGAGAAAAUCCGCUAAGCUUAACCCAUGCGGCACCCGUACCGCAAACGGACACACGUGGUCGGGUAGAACAUACUAAGGCGUUGAGAGAUUCAUGGUUAAGGAACUAGGCAAAUUGACCCUGUAACUUCGGGAUAAAGGGUCCUCGUGAUGAGCGAGGCGCAGAGAAUAGGUCCAGGCAACUGUUUAACAAAAACACAGGGCUGUGCAAACUCGAAAGAUGACGUAUACAGCCUGACACCUGCCCGGUGCCGGAAGGUUAAGAGGAGAUGUCACUCGCAAGAGGAAGCAUUGAAUUGAAGCCCCGGUAAACGGCGGCCGUAACUAUAACGGUCCUAAGGUAGCGAAAUUCCUUGUCGGGUAAGUUCCGACCUGCACGAAUGGUGUAAUGAUCCGGACGCUGUCUCAACCAUGAGCUCAGUGAAAUUGUAGUAUCGGUGAAGAUGCCGAUUACCCGCGAUGGGACGAAAAGACCCCGUGAACCUUUACUAUAGCUUAGCAUUGAAUUUGGGCACGCGAUGUGUAGGAUAGGUCGGAGGCAAUGAAGCAGGUACGCCAGUAUUUGUGGAGCCGCUGUUGAAAUACGACCCUUUGUUUGUUUGAAUUCUAACUCCCGGAUGGAGGACAUUGCUUGGUGGGUAGUUUGACUGGGGUGGUCGCCUCCAAAAGCGUAACGGAGGCUUCCAAAGGUGCCCUCGGGUCGAUUGGUAACCGACCUCAAAGAGUGCAAUGGCAUAAGGGCGCUUGACUGGGAGGCAGACAUGCCGAGCAGGCAGGAAACUGGGGCAUAGUGAUCCGGCGGAUGUGUAUGGAAACUCCGUCGCUCAAAGGAUAAAAGGUACUCCGGGGAUAACAGGCUGAUCCCCCCCAAGAGCUCAUAUCGACGGGGUGGUUUGGCACCUCGAUGUCGGCUCGUCACAUCCUGGGGCUGGAGAAGGUCCCAAGGGUUGGGCUGUUCGCCCAUUAAAGUGGCACGCGAGCUGGGUUCAGAACGUCGUGAGACAGUUCGGUCUCUAUCUAUCGUGGGCGUGGGAGUUUUGAGUGGUGCCGUCACUAGUACGAGAGGACCGUGAUGGACAGACCUCCGGUUUACCAGUUGUGCCGCCAGGCGCACCGCUGGGUAUCUGAGUCUGGAUUGGAUAAGCGCUGAAAGCAUCUAAGUGCGAAGCCAGCCGCAAGAUGAGAACUCCAUUGAGGGUCGUCAGAGACGAUGACGUUGAUAGGAUGCAGGUGUAAAGACAGCGAUGUCAAAGCCGAGCAUUACUAAUUGCCCGAACACUUUCUUU
rnacentral:rRNA from 1 species